GGAUUUUUGUACGACAUUGCACGCCAGUGUACUAGCAGGAGUACUAGUUAUAGUACUAGCACUCCUGCUACACUGUGAUCCACUCGGUGAAUUCGAUCGCAGCGUCGCCACAGUAUUUUUCCACAUCGGGCGCCUCACUGCUACGGUGGCUACCGUAUCACUGCAAAGCAUGCGCCGCCCCAGCUGCUCGUCCCACUCGACCGUAUUCUAGUACACUCUAGUCUGCCCACGGUGUCGUCGAGAGUGAUCGUCCCAGAAUACGUCCGGUUUUAUGACAUUUGUUGCCCAGUUGGCGGUGCUGUACCACAACGCAUCUGGAACAAAGCUUCUGCUGAUGUUUGUUGUGCCCAUGGAGAUCUAGCCUGACUCUGCAUCGUUGAUAACAACUAGCCGCAAGUGCUGAUUGCUGCUGGUCAGCUCAGUCCAGAAUUUGGCCUCACAAAUUACAAUGAGCCUUGGUGAAUGCAUCACUGUUGCCAAAGAGCCACGCCCCGCACCUUCCAAGGUCAUCAGUCAGGUCGAGGUUGGCCUGCAGUGCAGCUUGCCUCUGGCUGACAAGUCUGUCGGGUGCUCCUUGAAAGCAUGGAGCGUGUCGAGGAGCAUGCAGACUACGGAGGCUGUGGAUCAGUCAAGCUCCACCUUAGGUGGGCAUUGACCGGCAGUUCUCUUACUUUUGCUUGCUUGUGUGAGUUUCUGGUAAAUGAAGAUGUCUGCCUACCUUGGUGCGACCUGCUCAAGUGUGUGUGACAUUCUGCUGCCGAGGACAUAUUACCUGGGGGGGGGGGGGGUAUUUUGUAAGAGUCCGCCUAGCGGACUGUCCACUUCGCCUGUCACCAUUGGCUCAGGAGUCACGAGCGUGAACGAGACUGGCUGGCACCUUCACGCUCGUGAGGCCUGAGCCAAUGGCAACAGCCGAAGUGGACAGUCCACUAGGUGGCUUCUUACAGAAUAUUCCCCCCCUCCCUGGUUUGUGAUUCCUGUCCGCAUUUUGAUUGGGGCAAAAUCCAAAGAUACUGCUCAACUGAUCAUGUUGAAGCACCUUGGUGUUAGAGCUUAAUCAAGAGCCCUCCUGUCCUGGUGUUGUUGUAGCCCUUAAGUUGCUCUACGAUAAUUUUAAGCCCGGCGAGUCUCUUGGUUUUGCCUAAAUCGGUAUAUUAGUGUAAAAAUGUGAGUGUAGAUCAAUGUGGAAUGUAAGUUGAACUCUGUGCGUGAGGUGAAACAAAAUCGAUAGAACAAGUUAUUUAAAGAGAUACGGACACAAAAGUUGCCGGGUGAUUUUUUGCGUCGGAAGAAAAGUUGAACUGUUAAAAAUGACGAAUACAACAAGCUGCUUUGAAAAAAGAACAAGAAACAUCUUUUUGUUUUCGAUUUUCUGUUGCACCUUGCCUCCAAGCGGUCGCCGGGAGAAGCUGAAAUUUGACGGUCGGUGGGGGGGGGGGGGGUUAACACCCACCUGCGGCCAAGGUCGGCCACAGCUGUCACAGUGUUUCCAGGGGUGUCGGUCCCAUGCAGCGUUUGUUUAACCCCUUUCGGCAAUCUUCGCGCGUGGUCCGUCUUAAACCCUAUCCCCGUCGGCGCUCCACAUAGGUGGUGCGUCUUACAUGAGGCUUCCCACGGUUGUCGCUCGGUAUUGACGCGUUCAUCGCGGCAGAAGGAAAUGCCCAGACAUUGCUGUUAUAACAACAUCAUCGGUCGUGACACGCCGUCGCACACGUUUCCCAGAGAUGAGAAGGCACCGUAAACUUCGGAUACCUGCCUAUUAGAGAGCUUUAGCUUGUCCAGUAAUCGGGUAAACGCGGGCGUUGGGGCGUUCGGGCAGAACCGUAAACAUGAGUGGCCUGUAUGGUGCUGCCACCUGGUGGUGCAGAGCUCAGACAAAAAGAGCUAAUAUUGCAGUAACCCAUUGUAUUCUACUUCGCUGCUGGUGUAAAUCUUUGGCAGCAACACGAUUACGCCACUGCCGAAAAUUUACCACGAAAUGACCAAUAAUUCUUGCAUAAAGCCCAAACUGCAUGAGAGCGAUUUUGUGCGCGACCAGAUCGCUCGUUUCUGUAAAUCUAGAAUUCGUCGCUCGUCGCCCGGAAGUGCUGUGAGCGACUAGCCAAUAGCGCGAAGCCGGAAUUGGAUAUACAUCAGUCAAGUACUACCGAUUGUCGCACGGAACGAGCAAACGACUAGAUUUUGAUACGUGCAAGGAUAACAACAUAGUGCAAGACCUUUAGAAAUAUUUGUGCUGCUCUUUACACUAAAACACAUCAACUUAAGUUAAUAAAGCACGCGUCACGCCAGUUUCGGCGAGUAUUUGCUGCCCUCAUACCGGCAACACUGGGGAGACGUCGCUCAAAGUCCUCGCUCAUCUCGUCGCUCGCAUGCGGUACGGUACAACUUGUAGGCGAUGAGCGAACGCGACAGCCAUCUCCAUCGCGUUGCUUGUCGCUGCAUCGCGCCAAAUCACGUGCAUGUGGUUUAUAAUUGUCUGGUGCAGAGCGAAAUCUUCGCGCUACGGUUUGCAAAAACCUGACCAGCACUUCCAUGACCGCCUACUCUUCUUCGUCGCUUGACGUGGAAGGCCCGUAACCGUAAGCGGUAAUAUUUCUUGCCAAGUUGGAAUGGUCCCCGUCUUCAGAGGUGUACUCAUCACUGGUAGACACACCAGAACGCAAAUCCAUGCUCGCGAUGGCGGCGUCGGAGCGCUUCGAAUGACCGCAGCCGGCCGGCUGGCUAUCCGACGAGGAUGUCGUGACGUCACGCCUUCCAACUCCCGCAAGUCGGGUGGCAAGGCGCGCGCUCACAAAAACGCCAAAAAUAAAGCCAGCGGCUCAAAAAUGAGCUAAGUGACUACUUCUUUUCGGUGUAAUCACACAUUGAGGAUUCAUUUUCAGCAUUUUUGUAAAAUUUUCAGGUUUUGUGUCCGUACCCCUUUAAUGCAGAUACAGUAGAAUCUCGAUGAUACGAUCACGGCUAAUACGAAUUUCCGGAUGAUACGAAUUUUUCUGUGGUCCCGGCUGAGCCCCAUUACUUUGCAACGUGCUAGAGAACGGUUGUUACGAAUCGAUUUUCGACCCGCGUCGGUUGAUACGAAUAAACGCCGCCCCACCGACGGCCACGAAAAAGAACAGCGCGUAGUCACGCACUUUCUCCCUUUCUCUUUUGGUGUGGAGGCUCGGAUGCGGCGCCGGACAGCGUGGAGGCCGCGACUGGGCGCGAAGAGUUUGACGCUGACGCGGUGGCGCUUUUCUUGCUUUUGCACGUGGCCGCCCCGCCGCAGCGAACGAAGGUUCGCGCGGUCUGUCGCUUCAACAGAAACUGAGCGGCGUGAGCACAGCGCAUACAAAGGUCAGAGCCAUGUGGAGAUCGCUUUCAAGAUACGGUGCGCGCAACAACCCCGACAGCCGGCACAGGCGCAAAGUACAAGAACGCAUUUGUUGGCAGAAUAGAAGCCGCCCCCUCCCUCCAUCCCUCCCUCCUGCGUUGCCUUCCUGAUUUGCUCCUUUUGGUGGGAGAUUGCGUCGCCAGUUACCCUUGCGCCCGGUUGCAAGAUACGCAUUUGGUGCCCCUCAGCAC